CCUACGGGCGGCAGCAGUGAGGAAUAUUGGUCAAUGGCCGGAAGGCUGAACCAGCCAUGCCGCGUGAAGGUCAGUGCCCUAUGGGCGUUAAACUUCUUUUGUGCGGGAGCAAUAAUGGUCACGUGUGGCCAGACGAGAGUACCGUACGAAUAAGCAUCGGCUAACUCCGUGCGAGCAGCCGCGGUAAUACGGGGGAUGCAAGCGUUAUCCGGAUAUGUUGGGUGUAAAGGGUGCGUAGGCUGGGAGGUAAGUCAGCGGUGAAAUGCCCCCGCUCAACGGGGUGAAGAGCCAUUGAUACUGCCUUGCUGGAAUGCGGAAGCCGUAGGAGGAAUGUGUGGUGUAGCGGUGAAAUGCAUAGAUAUCACACAGAACACCGAUUGCGAAGGCAUCUCACGAAUCCGCGAUUGACGCUGAUGCACGAAAGCGUGGGUAUCAAACAGGAUUAGAUACCCGAGUAGUC
rnacentral:rRNA from 1 species